AGCAACUUUUCGUGCAGGCUUUAGAUAGGCCUACACUACAUUUAAAAUAAUAAUAAUAAUUUAACGCUUAAAACAGAUCUGAGAGACACUUUUAAAAGCAACGGACUUUUCCUGAGAAAACUUCACACAAGGCUUUUACAAGAAGACCAGAGGGAUACUAUCAGUGAAAGCCACUCAGUGUUCUGUUAUUAAUCUCCUACCGCCGUUGGCCCUUUCAUAAAAGGUGUUCUUCUGGGUUGACAACUCGGCCCUUGUUUAGGAAAGAGAGAACGAAUCAGAAGGUUUUCAUCUGAUAAUGCUGGAAUGAACAAAAUCAAAUGGGAACCCAUGCAAAAAAAAAAAAGUAAUCAGGUCUAGUGAUAUUCUAGAGAUUUUAUUAAACAAGUAGUUAUCAGAUAUAUAAACAAUCAUAAUUGCUCACCUCAUUUUACAAGAGUCUGCUAUCUUGAACAGACGUGCCUGGAAUUUUAUGA